rnacentral:rRNA from 1 species
UUGAACGCUGGCGGCAGGCCUAACCCAUGCCAGUCGAGCGGAUGAAGGGAGCUUGCUCCUGGAUUCAGCGGCGGACGGGUGAGUAAUGCCUAGGAAUCUGCCUGGUAGUGGGGGAUAACGUCCGGAAACGGGCGCUAAUACCGCAUACGUCCUGAGGGAGAAAGUGGGGGAUCUUCGGACCUCACGCUAUCAGAUGAGCCUAGGUCGGAUUAGCUAGUUGGUGGGGUAAAGGCCUACCAAGGCGACGAUCCGUAACUGGUCUGAGAGGAUGAUCAGUCACACUGGAACUGAGACACGGUCCAGACUCCUACGGGAGGCAGCAGUGGGGAACAUUGGACAAUGGGCGAAAGCCUGAUCCAGCCAUGCCGCGUGUGUGAAGAAGGUCUUCGGAUUGUAAAGCACUUUAAGUUGGGAGGAAGGGCAGUAAGUUAAUACCUUGCUGUUUUGACGUUACCAACAGAAUAAGCACCGGCUAACUUCGUG